CUUGCACCGAGAUUCAACAUGGAACGAGUGGCGGACGGGUGAGUAACACGUGGGUAACCUGCCCUUAAGUGGGGGAUAACAUUUGGAAACAGAUGCUAAUACCGCAUAGAUCCAAGAACCGCAUGGUUCUUGGCUGAAAGAUGGCGUAAGCUAUCGCUUUUGGAUGGACCCGCGGCGUAUUAGCUAGUUGGUGAGGUAAUGGCUCACCAAGGCGAUGAUACGUAGCCGAACUGAGAGGUUGAUCGGCCACAUUGGGACUGAGACACGGCCCAAACUCCUACGGGAGGCAGCAGUAGGGAAUCUUCCACAAUGGACGCAAGUCUGAUGGAGCAACGCCGCGUGAGUGAAGAAGGCUUUCGGGUCGUAAAACUCUGUUGUUGGAGAAGAAUGGUCGGCAGAGUAACUGUUGCCGGCGUGAC
rnacentral:rRNA from 1 species